UACGGGGGGGGCAAGCGUUGUUCGGAUUUACUGGGCGUAAAGCGCACGUAGGCGGAUCGUUAAGUCGGGGGUGAAAUCCUGGAGCUCAACUCCAGAACUGCCUUCGAUACUGGCGAUCUUGAGUCCGGAAGAGGUGAGUGGAACUCCUAGUGUAGAGGUGGAAUUCGUAGAUAUUAGGAAGAACACCAGUGGCGAAGGCGGCUCACUGGACAUGUAUUGACGCUGAGGUGCGAAAGCGUGGGGAGCAAACAGG
rnacentral:rRNA from 1 species